CACAGUGUGCAUCAGGUGUAACAGCAACUCCAUGUGGAUGUUCCAUCGCUCCCAGUGGAGUUACUGUUACUUUUGAUGGACAUUCAC
rnacentral:pre_miRNA from 1 species